UACGUAGGGGGCAAGCGUUGUCCGGAUUUAUUGGGCGUAAAGAGCGUGUAGGCGGCCCGGUAAGUCCGCUGUAAAAGUCAAAGGCUCAACCUUUGAAUGUCAGUGGAUACUGCCGGGCUAGAGUCCGGAAGAGGCGAGUGGAACUCCUGGUGUAGCGGUGGAAUGCGCAGAUAUCAGGAAGAACACCAACGGCGAAGGCAGCUCGCUGGGACGGUACUGACGCUGAGACGCGAAAGCGUGGGGAGCAAACAGG
rnacentral:rRNA from 1 species